GUGAGUCCAUCUUGCACUUUCUUUUUCUUCUUUUCUUUUCUUUCUUUUUUUUUUUUUUAGACAAAGUCUUGCUCUGUCCCCCAGGCUGGAGUGCAGUGGCAUGAUCUCAGCUCACUGCAGCCUUGACUUCCUGGGUUCAAGCGAUCCUCCUCCCUUAGCCUCUUGAGUAGCUGGGACUAUAGGUACUCACCACCAGGCCCCGGCAUGAGCCACUGCACCCAGCCUUUUAAAAAACUUUUUGGCCAGGUUGUUUUAUAGGCUCAUGCCUAUAAUCCCUGUUCUUUAGGAGGCUGAUGCAGGUAGAUCCUUUGAGCCCAGGAGUUUGAGACCAGCCUGUGCAACAUAGUGAAACCCCGUCUCUACAAAAAUAUACAAAAAUUAGUCAAGCAUGGUGGCAUGCACCUGUGAUCCCAGCUACUGAGGAGGCUGAAGUGGGAGGAGUUCUUGAACCCGGGAGGUCGAAGCUGCAGCAUGCUGAGAUCACGCCACUGCACUCCAGCCUGGGCAACAGAGCAAGACUCUAUCUUGAAAACAAAAACAAAAACAACUUUCAAAUCCAGCUCUUUUGGCAUGGCAAGGCACAGACUGAGAGAUUAUUAUUUAUUAUAAUUUCAUGGCUGUUUUGCUCAGGGGUGAUUUUCAAUUUGAACAUCAAAUUUGGCAUGAACACCAACCAAAAGCAGCCAAUACUAUCUAUGGUGUUUGGGUGCGCUGGCUGAUGGCAGCCCCAGGACUUUCAGCGGGAAUUUCCUUUUGUGCUAAUGCCUUGCUGUCAACAGCAGGUGAAACGAUGCUGGUGAAGAAGCCAAGUGUCAGGUGUGCCUGGCAUGUCCUGAGAAUCUGAUUCCUGGGGGUGGUGCCUCCCUGGCUGCGAGGGCCCAGGGCAGGCCUGCUGCUGUUCUCUCCCUCCUGGUGCAGGAGAACGCAGAUGCCGAGAAGUUGGAAUCUGAAGAUGGAUCAUCCAUAAUAUAAAAAAUGACACUCCAAAUCGGUUUCAAAUAAAAGGAUAUUUCAUGAUGGUGCUGGCACUGAUUGUUUCACGUGGCUUCAUGCUUCAAAUGUUUUUCGGUCAAAUUAAGAGGCCUAGUAGCCAUCAAACUCUUGUCCAGUGCAAUGACCAGAAAUCAUUAUAAAUGAGUUCGAAUAUUGCUAGGGACAUAGAUGCACAGCAGUGGUCACAGGGAAGUGAGACCAAGAGAUUGUUUCACCGAGGAAAUGCCAUUAUCACAUCACUCUCAGAGCCCGCGUCUUUGCUCAAGGAAGGGAAAGAAAUCCCCCCAGGAUGUCUUAUAAUUGUUACAGGUGCCACCAAAUGUGGGAAAUAACUAGAAUGCAGGAAUUCCAGGAGAAAAAUUAGUGGAGAUACCUAUUGCAGUAAGCGCUGUUUAAGCAAUAAUAAUAAAGGUAAGGGCUCACAUUUAUGCAGCAUUUACUAUGAGCCAGCCAUUGUUUCAGAUACAUCUAUUAACCACCUUAUAAGGUACGCUCAGUUAUUAUUCCCACUUUAGUGAUGAGGAAACCGAAGCAUGGAGAGGUGCAGCACAAGCAGGCUCCACCUGGGUCACAGCUUUUUCUCUCGAAUCAAUUCAUUUCACACCAAGUAUUGAUGCCCUCUAGGUGUCAUGGGGGAAAGUGUCCCAAUUUCUGUGCUUAAGGGUGGGGUUGGGUGAUUAAUUUGGAGGAAAUCUUCCACAUGCCCGGUGUGUCCUGCAGAUACAAUUGUUGGAGAGGCUGGAGAAACCAAUAUUUUAGCAGAAGCUUGAGGAACAGGCAGUUUUCCUUGUUUUCACCAUCCCUAGAUGACGUGGCUGUGAGUUCCAUGUAAAAACGUGCAGUUUGCAUUACUGUUCUCUUCUCCCUGGCCUAAAUUGGAUUUAGACUCAGCCCUCCUGCCCUGUCCCGGUCUCUCUGAGGACUUCUACCUAUUCCCUCAUUCCCCUAGCCCCAUUUUGCUCAGAUGGGUUUUUUAUGGCCAUGACUCCACCCAGCUAGAGUUGUCAGAUUUAGCAAAUAAAAAUAGAGGUCCGCCAGCGGUGGCUCAUCCCUGUAAUCCCAGCACUGUGGGAGGCCGAGGUGGGAGGAUCACCCGAGCCCAGGAGUUUGAAGCCAGCCUGGGCAACAUAACAAGACCUUGUUUCUACAAGAAAUAAAAAUAUUAGCCAGUUUCGUGGUGGUGCAUGCCUGUAGUCCCAGCUACUCAGGAGGCUGAGGAGGGAGGAUCGUUUGAGCUCAGGAAUUUGAGUCUGCAGUGAGCCAAGAUAGUGCCACUGCACCACAGCCUGGUGACAGAGUGAGACCCUGUAUGAAAAAAAAAAAGGAGGCUGUCAGUUAAAGUUAAAUUCAAAUUUCAGAUAAACAAUGGAAAAAUUUUAGUGUAAGUAUGUACCAUGCAGUAUUUGAG
rnacentral:lncRNA from 10 species